rnacentral:rRNA from 1 species
CGAAAGAUUGAUCCAGUUACUUAUUAGGAUGAAUAUUAUAUUUAAUAUAUAAUUUGAUAUAACAAUAAAAUCCAUAAAAUAAUCUAAAUAAUGAUAUAGAUUAAUAUUAUUUAUUAUAAUAUAAUAUAUAUAUAUAUAUAUUAUUUUUUAUAUAUAUAUAUUUAUAUAUUUUUAAAUAGUCCCAACCAAUAUUUGUGCCAGCAGCUGCGGUAAUACAAAGGGGGCAAGCGUUAAUCAUAAUGGCUUAAAGAGUUCGUAGAAUUAUUAAUAUAAUAUAUAUAUAUUAAUUAGAAUUAAUUAAAAUAUAAUUUAAGAAUUAUAAUAGUAAAGAUGAAAUAAUUAUAAUAAUUAUAAGACUGGUAUUAUUGAAAAUAUAAAUUAAUAAUUAAUUGACAUUGAGGAACGAAGGCUAGAGUAGCAAUACGGAUUCGAUACCCGAGUAGUUCUAGCAGUAAACUAUGAAUACAUAUAUUAUUAUAUAAUAUAAUAAUAUAAAAUGAAAAUAAAAGUAUUCCGCCUGAAGAGUACGUUCUCAAGAAUGAAAUUCAAGACAAUAGACGGUUACAGACCAAAGCAGUGGAGCAU